rnacentral:lncRNA from 1 species
UCCCAUCUUCUUAAGAUGGACUUUCAUUUUCGGUUGGCUCAACUACUUAGUUAGCGGGUCUGCUACAUUGUCUGCGAAGUCUGCUCUUCGUACCUCAAUAUGUUUCUUUUCGAGGUAGUCGUGUAUACGGCUGCUCUAUGUGCUUGAACUUUUGAUGAGACUUUGGCUCCUUAACAAGGGCUAUAAUGCCAUUAUCUUUGC